GGCCACACCUGUGGCAUAUGGAGGUUCCCAGGCUAAGGGUCUAACUGGAGCUGUAGCCGUCGUUGGCCUACAGUAGAGCCACAGCAAUGUGCGAUCUGAGCCGCGUAAUCUGUGACCUGCACCACAGCUCACGGCAAUGCCCGAUCCUUAACCCACUGAGCGAGGCCAGGGAGUGAACCCACAACCCCAUGGUUCCUAGUCGGAUUCGUUAACCACUGAGCCACAAUGGGAACUCCGCCUUUGUUUUUAACUUGGUUGUUUUUUGUUGUUGAAUUUUAAGAGUUCUCUGUAUUUUCAGGAUACUAUCCCUUAUCAGAUAUAUGAUUUGCAAAUGUUUUCUCCUUUUCUAUGGGUUGCCAUUUUACUCUGAUGACAGAAGUCCUUUGAUGCACAAAAAUAUUUUGUUUCGAUGAAGUCCAAUUUAUCUAUUUUUUUCUUUUGGUGCCUGUGCCUGUGCAAGAAAUCACUGAUAAAUCCAGUGUUGUAAAGGUCUCCCCCCAAGUUUUGUUCUAAGAGUAUUGUAGUUUUAGCUCUCACGUUUGGGUCUUUGAUCCAUUUUGAGGGGUUUUGGUUUGUUUUGUUUUGUUUUUUGCCUUUUUAGGGUGGCACCCACAGCAUAUGGAAGUUCCCAGGCUGGGGGUCAAUUUGGAGCUGCAGCUCCCGGCCUUCAGCACAGCCACAGCAACACCAGAUCUUAGCUGCAUCCACAACCCACGCAGCUAUUUGCAGCAAUGCUGGAUCCUUUACCCACUGACUGAGGCCAGGGACUGAACCCACAUCUUCAUGGAUACUAGUCGGGUUCUGGCUGAGCCACAACAGGAACUCCAUUUUGAGUUAAUUUCUUUCAGCAAUGCUUUACGGUGAAUCCUGGGGUGUGCAGCAGAGUCUCCUGGUUACAUCCUCCUCCCCUUGCAGGUGAUGCUUCCCAGAAGUACAGAUGAGCCCUGGGUCCAUCCUGUGGACCUCCUUGCCCAGGUACACCAUUCACUCUCAGGUAAGUUACUCUCUCAGAUCGCAUUGCUCAGCUCAGGCUGCCCCUUAAGGAGUUAGAUACUGUUGCAGGCAUUCCUUAUUUUCCCCUCAAGCUUUCCUAAACUCGCCCGAAGACUGUCUUUAUUCUCAUCCCCUUUGGAUACCAAGAGACUCCCACCAGCUUACCCUUCUACGUGCUUUUCUAAUUCUCUAAACCUGCUGACACUCUUAGCAACUGGCCCCUUCCUUAAAUGUUCUCAAGGCAUAGAUUAAGCAUGAUGUUUGUUCAAAAAACACAUACACCAAGGACUAUGGCCUGGUUUGGUUGCACUUUCUAAUGCCAUUUAAUACACACCAAGGUUCAUCACAGUUCCAAGAGAACACUGGAGCAGGAAGAAACUGUCAAGCACUGAAGAUAAAGCCAAGCCCUGGCUGACUCAGCUGGCAAAAAUAUAAUAAGCCACAUUUAGAUUCAGUUUAUUGCUCAAAUAGACAGUGAGAGAAUGAGUAGCCAAAUGUGCCAACUCCCUGGGCCACUGUCCUACAUACCAAGAAGCAUAACACCAAAACAAAAGGGGCUGAUGACUGCAAUGUGAGUUGUAGGACACCCACUGCUGAGAAGCUAAUUCUAAACUGUAGCUAAAUGGUUUCAUAGUCUCAGCCACACCUUGAGAAAGCAUUAUAUCUCACUGAAACUUGGUAGGCACUGAUAACCUAUCUCAUGACAGCCUAUCAGGGGAAACAGGGAGGUGAGAGGAAUCUUUAAGGCAACUCCUCACAAGCCUCCCAUCCUCUCGUGUUCCAGAGAAUAGAAAGACAUUCUGCUAAAACUCUACAGAUUAGCUACAGUUUAAGCCUGUUUCCCAUGUGAAUACAAAGAAGGUCUCCAAGGCACCAUGAUGGGACUGUUCCUCUAUUGGAAACUUGGAAAACUGGAGAAAAUAAAGGAGGACAACCGAAUUUUAUAGAUGAAGAAACUGAGACUUGCAAAGAUUAAGAAACUUACUAGAGAUUCCACAGCUUGUUGGGGUAGAGCUACUUUUAUAAAUCUGGGAGCCUCAGGACUUCCAGGUCAGUGCUCUUUGCACUGUGCCAUACAACCUCAUAUUAGAAUGUCAGAGGCCUGUGGAAUAAACAGGUCUUCUCACUUUUAAGAAAAAAACAUAUUCAGAAGACAUAUAAAAAAAUACAUUCCUGUGGAGUCUAUGGGUCUCUUUUUUUAUGCUCAGUCAGCUUUCAAUCCCUAGCUGAUGAAACUGGACGAAGGAUCAUGUAAGUAAUAUUUAACACUCAUCAUAAUUAUAAUAUACUUAGUAGUUACCCAUAAAUAAUUAAUAAACAUUAUAUUAUGUAUAAUGUUUGGCUGUUAGAAGAUAAUCCUCAUGUGAGUAGGACCUGUCUUGUUCCCCCCAUAACUUCACUAUACGAGUCUCUGCCACACAGAAGAAUCAAUUAAUACCUGUUGAAUGAAUAAAAGUCAUUAUAAACAGCCAAUAUUCCUUAGUUCCAAGUGUAUUCCUCACCAAAUCCUUUACUAGGGCUGGAUUGAAGCAAUAAAACUAAUUUUUUUUUUUUUUUGAUCUUUUCAGGACAGCUCCUGCAGCAUAUGGAGGUACGGCCCUAAACAGACAAAAAGAAAAAAAAAAAAAAAAAGAAUGCUAAUGUUAAAAAUAAAUAUUAAAUGUCCCUCUUCCUGAGACACCAAUGCUGGUCCUCCUUUGAUGAUAAAGGCCCCCUUCACAGGUUCAAGGCCAUGCUGACUUGCUGUGUACAUGCUGGUCUGUGGUUUUUGUUUUUUGUUUUCCUUCUCCCUUGAAAUGUAUCUCUGACUUGUUUAAUGUCCUUUGUCUGACAAGUUCUAAAACUGCUGGAAACCAUGCUUUUCUGGAGCAGUUUCUCGGAGUAAUCCGGGAAGCCAGUUUCUGGGCUAUUCCUUAGUAUGGCUCAAAUAAAAUUAUUUUCUUAUCAUAGACUGGUUAUUGAUUAUUUUCAUUGACAUUGCUUAGCAUAAUUGGCAGGAUAUUAGAAAAAUCAACCUGAGGUCACCUGGAGUCUACAUUGUAUCAGUGCUUGGUACCAAGCAUGGGUCCCCUGAGUCCCUCCAACUUCACAGCACUCUUCAGGAGCUUCAGUGAUCUCCAGAGGGAACUGGUACAUCUCCUAGUCAGAGGAACUGGUAGGAAUUCCUAGGCAGAAGACCUAGAGGGAAGUUUCUAGGCAGGAGACCAUAUAUAUUUACAUGGUCUGAACAAACAGUUUGACAACAAAAUGAAAGACUGAAUUCAUUUGGCUCCAAAGAAAAAGGGGACUCCGGCUCCUUCCAGCCACAAGGUGUUCUCAGGCAACGGAAAACCUAGCGGAAGUGUCUGAGGAUUGAUCCUCCUACAUGCAGCGGUCCCAUAGGGAAACCCAUCAUUACACUUGAAGUUAUUUCACAGCUCGUCUGGGGACACGCAAGAACUGGUCAUUCAGUAAUCAAAGCCCCCACUGUAGCAUUAGACUACAGGCAGGAGAAACCAAGGCACAAAAGAGCUGAACUGACUCAAGGGCGACACCUUGAGGAGAUAAGCUCACAAGCGGCACACUUAUGACCCUCUACACUGUCCUUAGAAAUUGUUCAGACCUUAUAAACAAAGCAAACCAAAAAUGGGAAACCCUGCUUCCGAAGCAGAGCAACUCCCACAUAGGCAGCCACCCACUGGAACCCCAGCUGGCUUCCUGUACAAUGCAUACGGAGCCAUGCCUGCAAGUACUUAAAGAAGUGGGAACAUCUAACAAAAGAUAACUCUUAAAUGGACAAAAUGGGGAACAUUCAAUCUGCCAGAAUUAAUUUACUUGCAUGCACAACCGGAAAAAGCCAGCAAUAAAACGGGAGGCAUGUGUCAAUAUUGGUACUUAAAGGCUUUGAAACGUGGCGAUCAUAAAAUGACGUCUUUACAGGAAACCAAUCAAAAACUAUUAGAAACAGUUGCUAAAUUGGAAAACAGCUCAGAAGUCACCAGACUG
ensembl:lncRNA